rnacentral:misc_RNA from 1 species
AACUUUUAACAAUGGAUCUCUUGGCUCUCGCAUCGAUGAAGAACGCAGCGAAAUGUGAUGAGUAAUGUGAAUUGCAGAAUUCAGUGAAUCAUCGAAUCUUUGAACGCACCUUGCGCCCUUUGGUAUUCCGAAGGGCAUGCCUGUUUGAGUGUCAUUAAUAUCUCAACCUCUGAACCAUUGUGGUUUUUCCGAGGCCUUGGAUGUUGGGGGUUUAUGCUGGUGAAAUCACUCACUUGCUCCUCUUAAAUACAUUAGCGGAACUUAAUGGGAUUGGCUUUGGCUUGAUAAAUCUAUCUAUGCUAUCGCUGAGACCAAGUGCUUUUGCUUCUAACUGUCUUCGGACUGCCUUGUGCACUGUUAUAAACUUGACCUCAAAUCAGGUAGGACUACCCGCUGAACUUAAGCAUAUCAAUAAGCGGAGGCU